AGAGUUUGAUCCUGGCUCAGGACGAACGCUGGCGGCGUGCCUAAUACAUGCAAGUCGAGCGGAUGAAGGAGGAGCUUGCUCCUCCAGAUUCAGCGGCGGACGGGUGAGUAACACGUGGGCAACCUGCCCUGUAGAUUGGGAUAACUCCGGGAAACCGGGGCUAAUACCGAAUAAUCCACCAGACCACAUGGUCCGGUGUUGAAAGGCGGCUUCGGCUGUCACUACAGGAUGGGCCCGCGGCGCAUUAGCUAGUUGGUGGGGUAACGGCCCACCAAGGCGACGAUGCGUAGCCGACCUGAGAGGGUGAUCGGCCACACUGGGACUGAGACACGGCCCAGACUCCUACGGGAGGCAGCAGUAGGGAAUCUUCCACAAUGGACGAAAGUCUGAUGGAGCAACGCCGCGUGAGUGAAGAAGGUUCUCGGAUCGUAAAACUCUGUUGUGAGGGAAGAACAAGUACCGGAGUAACUGCCGGUACCUUGACGGUACCUCAUUAGAAAGCCACGGCUAACUACGUGCCAGCAGCCGCGGUAAU
rnacentral:rRNA from 1 species